ACAGAGGCGCGGGCAACAUGAGUAAGCGCGGUGUAACGGGCCGGCCAGGCCGCCGCAUGAAAGGGUUGUCUGCCGAAGGCAAUGUACGGCACGCAUUGCCUGGGCCCGCUGCCGAACAGGGACGGGACUGUCACAUCGUUUGCGGUGUGUUGCGCUGUGU
rnacentral:ncRNA from 1 species